rnacentral:rRNA from 1 species
GAUGAACGCUGGCGGCGUGCUUAACACAUGCAAGUCGAGCGAAGCACUUAGGAAAGAUUCUUCGGAUGAUUUCCUUUGUGACUGAGCGGCGGACGGGUGAGUAACGCGUGGGUAACCUGCCUCAUACAGGGGGAUAACAGUUAGAAAUGACUGCUAAUACCGCAUAAGACCACGGUACCGCAUGGUACAGUGGUAAAAACUCCGGUGGUAUGAGAUGGACCCGCGUCUGAUUAGGUAGUUGGUGGGGUAACGGCCUACCAAGCCGACGAUCAGUAGCCGACCUGAGAGGGUGACCGGCCACAUUGGGACUGAGACACGGCCCAGACUCCUACGGGAGGCAGCAGUGGGGAAUAUUGCACAAUGGAGGAAACUCUGAUGCAGCGACGCCGCGUGAAGGAUGAAGUAUUUCGGUAUGUAAACUUCUAUCAGCAGGGAAGAAAAUGACGGUACCUGACUAAGAAGCC